rnacentral:rRNA from 1 species
UAGGGAAUCUUCCACAAUGGACGCAAGUCUGAUGGAGCAACGCCGCGUGAGUGAAGAAGGUCUUCGGAUCGUAAAACUCUGUUGUUAGAGAAGAACACGAGUGAGAGUAACUGUUCAUUCGAUGACGGUAUCUAACCAGCAAGUCACGGCUAACUACGUGCCCG